UAGGCCCCAAAGGGCCUAACAAUAAUACGACAAAGUCAAUACAACUCUUACUUCAAUUUGGAUGAUAUCUGUCCCUAUCUCCAUUUGAGUAGCCCUUCUCGAAGUGAUCCUCAAAUUCUUUUGAAUGCUCAAUUUAAAGCAAUUUCAUAGCAUGUCUUUGAAUACACAUUGAUACUUUUCAUAUUCAAUUAGAUUAUUAAUGAAGGCACCCAAGAUGUUAUCCAAGUAAUUAUUACCUCAAUAUAAAAGUCCUCUGCAUAUAGAAGAGCAGCAAAAUAGUCCUUGUAUGUUGAGACACACAAUGGCCUUUUCAAAACUCCAGGUACUUUGUCUUUCUUGAUCAAAUCUUGUAUAUCCUUAGGAAUCGCAUAAAUAGGUAAUGCAUCCUUUUGAACCCAUAUGUAGUUUGCUUUUGAAUGCUCAUUUGUGCCAUUUGGGGAAGUUGGAGCCAGGGUUGACUUAAAAGAUGCAGGGGUUACAGAGGAUGAUGUAGAUUGCUUUAAGGACGAAAGAGGUACAUUACUUGAGAAUAUAAAAGGUUUAGAAGACAGUGGAGAUGGCUCAGAGUGUGAUGUUUGAAAUUUUAGGAUAGGUGAUGUGUUCUUUUCAACCUGUUUGUUGGUGGCUUUU